CUUGGUCAUUUAGAGGAAGUAAAAGUCGUAACAAGGUCUCCGUAGGUGAACCUGCGGAGGGAUCAUUACAGAGUUCAUGCCCCUAUGGGUAGAUCUCCCACCCUUUGUUAUCAUUACCUCUGUUGCUUUGGCGGGCCGCCAGGCCUCGGUCAGGCUACCGGCUCCGGCUGGUAAGCGCCCGCCAGAGGACCCUAAACUCUGAAUUAUUAGUGUUGUCUGAGUACUAUAUAAUAGUUAAAACUUUCAACAACGGAUCUCUUGGUUCUGGCAUCGAUGAAGAACGCAGCGAAAUGCGAUAAGUAAUGUGAAUUGCAGAAUUUAGUGAAUCAUCGAAUCUUUGAACGCACAUUGCGCCCCUUGGUAUUCCGAGGGGCAUGCCUGUUCGAGCGUCAUUACAACCCUCAAGCAUUGCUUGGUAUUGGGCUCCGCUGCUCACCCAGCGGGCCUUAAAAUCAGUGGCGGUGCCGUCAGGCCCUGAGCGCAGUAAAUAUCCUCGCUAUAGGGACCUGGUGGACGCUGGCCAGCAACCCCCAUUUUCUAAGUUUGACCUCGGAUCAGGUAGGGAUACCCGCUGAACUUAAGCAUAUCAAUAAGCGGAGGA
rnacentral:rRNA from 1 species